UACCUGCACACAUGCGUGGGAGCGGGCUGGUGGUGCAUGCGUGGAGUGGGACGGACCUGCAUGGUGCAUGUGUGGGAGGAGGCUGGUGGUAUGCAGUUCAUGUGUGGGAAGAGGCUGGUGGUGUGCACACACAUGUGGGAGCUGGAUGGACCUGUCUGGAGCACUCAUGGGAGGGGUCUGCUGCUGUGCACACACAUGUGGGAAGACGCUGGUGGGGCAGGGUGCAUGUGUGAGAAAGGGCUGGUGGUGUGCACACAUGCAUGGGAGCAGGAUGGACCUAUGCACACACAUGUGAGAGCAGGCUGGCAAUGCAUGAUGAACAUGUGGGAGCGGGAUGGCUUGGAGAGGAGUGAGAUAGACCUGCACAAAUGUGCGUGGAAGUGUGGAUGGGGAGUGGUGUGUGCAUGGGAGCAGACUGGAUCUGCAUACACAUGUAUGGGAAUGGGCUGCUGCUGUACAUAUGCACGUGGGAGUGGGCUAGCAGUUCAUGCUGCAUGUGUGGAAACGGGCUGGACCUGCACAUGCAUGGAUAUUGCUGCCGCACGUGUGACAUCCUUACAUAGAGCACCCACGUGUGUGCAUGCAUGUGUGCAUUCAUUUAUUAUUCUGUGUCCAUGUAUAUGCACACAUAUAUCUGCACAUACAUGCCUGACAGGGCCAAGAUGUCUUUAAUGUUGCAGGCAGCUCAGAAAAACAUUUUGGUGCAGAGCAGCAGGCCAUGCAUGAAAGCGGGUGUCAGUGAGCCCAGCAGAAUCACCCACUGUGAAGAUGUCUAAUAGGAACUGCUGAAUGCACAAUACGGGCAGCAUGGGCUGAAUGGCUAAAUUGGAGCGGCCAGAACACAGUCAGAAGGAGGAUCUUAGAAAACUUCAGGAUGAAUUCUGUUUAAGCUGAAAUUACCACGGAGCCACACUAGGACAGUUACAACGCUGCAGCACAGGGAACCCAUCCCGAACCACGGCAUGGCUCAGCUCAGCACAAAACUGGUUUGGGAGGAAGGAGGUGGGAGCACAAUUAUGUAUCACAGAGGGUAAGAAAGUUUUUAUUAUUUUCCUCUUUCAUGCAGAAGGAUGCUAACGGCUACUUUAAGGACAAGAAGAAAAAACAAGGACGCUUGCCGUAGCAUCGCUUGAUCCCUUGUGCCGAGGGAUGUCAACCUACUGUGGGAAAUGUGACACAGGGUUACACUUUAGGCUGGUCAACAAAAGUUGAUUUUGCAGAGGAAAGCAGUUGUUAUUUUACCCCAAAUUCAGGGCCAUGUGCGCUGUUCACUUUGAGACGCACGCACCGGGUACAGCCCCACACUUUUUCAAAAGAAAAGAGAGACCUGAGAAUUACUCAUCAUCUCUGCCUGGCAAGGAGAGUUGAAAUCAAAAUGGAGGAUUUUUUUGGGUAUCCGGGCACUUGUGCUGUUUGGAGCAUGCGGUUGGCUUAGCGGGAAAGGGAGGAGAGGGAUGCGUGCUGCACUGGAAGGGUGCGCGGCGAGUGUUUGCUGCUGACAGGCUGCGAAGUUUCACUUGGGAUACAGCUGGGUGGAAGAGGGAUGAUUGAAGGGGAGUGUGUCGAUGUGCGAGAGAGGUCAGGGGGAAACAGGGAAGGACUGAAACACACCUCCUGCAUUACCACUAUCAAUGGCUCUUUGAUGCUAUAGAAAUUACCCGGCUAAAACUUAAUAAGAAUUUCCUACCAACAACAUGCGCUAUGUGUAACUGUGUGUGGAGAUGCACAUGGGCAGGGAGAGGCGCAGAACAGCACGCUGUGGCAUAUGCCUGGGUGCAUUUGGCUUACCGAGUACAAGCGGGUGCUUUUUCCUAUGGGAUGCGUCUCCUGAACUACCUGAUUUAGAAAUGUUUGUUUAAACUGCGAAAAGUUACUUUGGUUUGUAUGGAAGAGAAGCAGAAGGCAGAAAGAUUUUUUUUUUUCUUUCAAAAUAAGGUAUCUCGAGGAAUGUGCAUUAUGUAACUAAUUUUAAUUUCGUGCAGUUACAAAUCAUAGAUUUGCUGUCCUUUUCCACAGAUUCAUGUGGAUCUACCAAAUAUAGUGGCAUUGAAAUUUCAAAUUUCUUUUUUUCUAUAGCACUCGCUUCAUAAUUAGAGUAAAAAAAAACUUCACUUAGAUUGUACUUAACAGAAUGCUGCAAAAUAUAAAAAUAUAUCAAGUGUGCGUGAAAGAAGAGCAAUCCAAAGCAUUGCAAAUAAUAACUUACAUCAUUAUUAUCCAUGCCAUGCAAUAAAAAUCAGUUUUGCUCAGCCAAAGAAGGAUUUAGCCUCUACUGAAAUAAGACAACGAAUUUUUUUUUUUUUUCCUGGAGAAAGAAAGACGGUGAGAAGCAACAUGAGACUCUGCAGAGCAGGACGACUCUAAUUGUUUUGUCUUUAUUAUGCAGUAUUCUUACUACACCACCACCCAUUACCCUUUCAGCGAUAAAGUCAGGCUGGAACGGUGACCUCGCUAAACCUGGUGCUGAGCAGUCUCUAUUGCACCCAGAGCAGCCUGUUCUCAAAAUACGAACGUGACAGAGAAAUCCGCAUUUCUGGAGUGAGGCAGGGAUGUUCUAUCAAUUCCCUGCUCAGGCUGCUGCACCAGUGUCGAGUUCUCCACCAAGUCUCUGUCACUCAAACACCCCAUUUUACCUCAAAAAUAAAAAAUUAAGCAUAAAUAAACUGCAAUGCCUUUUAAAAAAUUCACUGUAGUAUCUUGUUUGAUGGAAGACUGCCCGUCAGAGCAUCAAAGUUUUUGAGCAAAGGGCAGAUACCAUAUAUGUAAGAUGCAUGGAGAGUAAAAAUGUUUAGUUGGGAAUGACGCAGUGGAAAACAUUUUUAGUUGCUGCAUCGUACCUGCCACAUUAGUGGUACCCGGACUUUGAAAAGAUCUCCUUAGCAAAACAACACAGAAUCACCUCUGUUCUUCAGCAACAUGCUCAUAAAAUGGAAAGUCUCUGUGGCACGGGAGAGACAUGACACUUUAGACACUCUCUGCAAUUUUUCCAGUCUCUAAAUACCAGGCAUUUAAAAACUAAAAAUAAAACACCCACAGAUUCUGGAUUUUCAUGCUUUAUACACUUACUUUGAAAACAUCAGCCCUACAUCUGAAAAAUAAUUUUUUUUUUUGCCAAGAAAGUUACAAAUUUCACAAAGAAACUUAAAAAUAUGGGGUUUUACAUUGUGCUGCUCUGUUUUAUUCAUUCUUUACCAGUAAAAGUAAACUACACAGCAUCCACAGAGGGUAUCGGAGAGUCUGGAAGUAUCUAUAAACAUCUUCAUCACGUUUUCCUAAGGCACCCGCUUUGUUUAACCUCACAACGCUCUGCAUGCUACGAUACUUUUUUCCCCAGACAGUAUUUCUACCUGAAGGAAGAGAUUAGAUUUCUUUUCUUCAUUUUAAUUGCUUAUAAACAAUCAUCUCCUACCCUUUCUUUUUUCAAAACUGAAGCUGUUUGCAAAAGAUCUCUUUUGCUACCAGAAAUUUUUCGGGUCAUGUUGCCCUGCAUAGUUCAUGCAUAUAAGCGAGUCCAGCAUUUUUCUUCAACUGAAUGACACAGAUAAUGGGCUGCUACGAGAUACUCAGGCUCUUCUUUUAUUUCAGAAUUAAAAGCAAGUUCCACUCCCCACUUAAGAGAUUAGCUCAUAUUUAGCCUGUGCCCAUCCUCUAUGUUCACUGACUCAAAUAUCAGCAAAAGACAGCUUAAAAUAAGUGAAAAGUGUUGCAGAUGCACAAUCUGUGCACAAUACAGACACAGAGUAUAUAUAACACUCGCAUGGGAUAUUGCUAUGUAUAACAAAAUAUUGGUAUAAAUAUGCGCUGAUUUCAUUUAUGUACCGAAACAAAACAGAACAGAUUUUCAGCUACUAUCCAACUUUUUUUUCCCCUGCAGAUUUUUUGAAAUCUGUAUUUGCAUGUUCAUCCUCUCUGCGACAAGAGAGCUCAGAAUUCAUCAUCGAUGCAAAAAUCAGAAAAGACCCUCUGUACCAAUAGGUCAACACAUUCUUUUGCGAUUUUAAUAAUGGCCUGUCCUAUUACAUUUGUUAUUCAUAUAGAAUAAGGAUAGACAAUUUUUAGGUAUUAUAUAGCUUUCUUCUGGAAUAUUAGCUUUGUGGCUUUGAGAGGCCAUUUUCUAAAGAUCCUAAUAGUCAAGUGACAUCUUGGGAAAUGUUACAUUCUCACUGCAUUUGCAUGAUAAUGAAGAUGAAAUUUCAUAUACGCUACCUGAAUUAUACUUAUCUAAGUUUUGUUUUACCGAAUGACCAAAGGAAUAUGUUCCCUAAGCCAAAGGAUCGCAGUACAAUGCAAUACAUUAUUGCUUCUGUGAAAGACAUGAAACUAUAAUCCAAGUGAUAAAAAAACACCAACCCUGUGUAAUUUAUGUAAUAGCAUUAAUACAAUCUCAGCUGUGUUUCUCUGAAUAUUAUUUCCUUUGAAGAAAAUUCUACAGCAUCCACAAAGAUAUCCAAUGUGUAUUUUUUAAAAAUUAAGAAGGGGCAGCUCUGUGAUGUUCAGUGCUCCGUAGGACAGGAAUACAUCUUAACAGUUUAUUUUUUCAACAACACACAGUACUAUCAUGCACUGGGUGAAGUUCACACGUCAGCUUAAUCACUAGAUAUGAGCCACCCUUUGGGUAUAACCACAUUUCACCUCUUCCUACAGUAAAAUCCAUGUGUCAAAUAAUUUUCUGACCACAGAAAUGCAUUUUGUGGACAAUAAUAAUGGGCAUCUUUCCCAUAAUUAAGCACGUAGGCAAAUAUGUGCCUCUCAGAAAUUGCAGUGGUGGUUUUUGGAGCUCCUGAGCACGGGGUGAUUUUGCAGGAGAUGUUGAAAAGCUCCAGCCUCUACAAGGCUGAGCCAAGAACCUGGCUGCCAAACCUGGAUUUCCAAAGCUAGUUCCUGACACCACUUCAGAAACCAAAAGCAUGUUGUAAAGAAAUAUUUGUCCUCUCUGACCAAUACAGAGCUGAUCAAUUAUUGUUCAACUCAGCUAUUUACCUGAACUAUUCAUCUUGAAGUACAGCUCCAGAAAGCCAACAUCCAACUGCAGUUUUAUUCCAAAGACGCCACUUUUAAAAUAUUUUUCUCAGAUUGAAGAAAAUUUAGUAAAAAUAAUGCAAGUUCCAAACUGACAAUAUUAAUUUAAGUGAAGACACCAGCACACAGACUCUUAGAUUAAGUCUCCACUUAUAAGUGCCAAUUCUUUGAAGAGAGAGUAGUUUUGAUUUUUGCUGGAAGCUAUAGGCAUUGUUUUAAAGAAAACCCCCACAGGAUGGAACGAGUAGUAUACAUAAUGGUGAUUUUAUUUAACAUAGCUUUUAAAUACUGUGCUAUAACUGCAGAAACACAUCCAAAUUAAUAAAAAAAAAACCAACAACUUAUCCUGAAAAAAACCAAAAGGAAAGGUCUAUACUCAAAGGAACAUUGAAUAAAAUUGAGACAUCUGCAGUAAAGUUUCCCCUUCUCCCUAGAAUGUUUGAGAUGAACUCUGCGUAACACUGCCUUCCAAGAAAAGACAGGAUGAUCAAUGCAGGAGCACAUCAGGCUCCCUUGGACAGGCCAAUCAAUGCAAGAAAGAACCUUGCCCAGGGCCUUAUGCAAAUAGAAGCACGUCCUGCAACCCGGGGAGGGAACAUGCGCAGUAGAUCAAUGGCAUCUGAAAAACCUUACAGCUAUAUUAGCCUCAGACAGUAAAUAUAUAAUGAUGAAUCCCUCACGUUCGGUCGUGAGCUCCUUAAACUAGGUUAUUUUCAACAGCUGGUUUGAAAAAAACCUGCCAGGGCUGUAGACAGCAACAGCGGAGAAGCAGAGUGAGAUUACUGAGGGUUAAAUUAACAGGGUUUUUUUUUUUCCUUUAAGGUUGGGAAAAUAUAAGCUCUGUACUUUAACACCCUGUACAUCAUGGAAAGUUUGUGCCCACCAGGGUAGGAACCAUCAUAGGGGUGGCUGGGGUUUUGUGUCAUUAUUUUGAUAUUUUGAUGUUUUGAUAUUUUGAUUUGGCUUUUUUUAUUUUUUAUAAAAAUCCCAAAUCUACUCAGUAAGGUGCUUGGUGAUGUAGGAAAAAUUAAAAGGUUUAUUGUAUACAAGAACUAUAACACCGGAAAUCUAAUAUCACAAUUAUCAUCACUCUGUUGAUGGAAAUUUAUUCUGCCAAAGAAUAUUGCAAUUACAUUUUUUUGUAUGCUGUACUGUUUUAGUCCUUUAUGUUUAGUCCUUUAUGUUAAAGGAAUUCCACAAAAUGCUAAGGCUCAUAAGCAAAGCAGCUGACAUAAACACUAAUACUUCAAAAGCACUCCAAACUGGAAUAAAACUCGGUGAGGUUCACAGAGCAAUACGCAUGACCGCAGGAGCAUACAGGUUCACCAGCUACUUGGUAACUACACCAAAAUUGCUAAAAUAACAACAUCUUUCUGUGGAGACUUGUGGGGAAUGAUACCCUAAACAUUAUUCAUCACCUGUUCUUGGGAAAGGGGUGGGGAGAGAAAGGAGGAGGAUGAAGGAACAAGCAAAAAAGCUUGCAAAAACUUUUCCUCUGAAGAAACUCCUCUUUUAAAGAUCACUAGCGGCUCCUAACUUGCAUAACACAAAGGUGUAAUACUCCUGUCAGACAGCUAGAGCCACCUCAGGACAAAAUAUAAUCCAUAUAUUGACAAGCAAAUAAAAUGCCUUGGCUUAAUCAAGCUUUGUAAAAACCUCAUGCACUUUGGAUCUGAAUACUGCACGAUAUGGAGAUUCACUAUUGCAUUUAAUUUGCCUUAGAAAAUGGAAAAGACAGAAAAAUAGCUAAUUAAGCUAUUUAUUGUUCAUGUUUUUACAAGGAAACUUUACUCCUGUGUUUUGACACUUUGCAUUAAAAUCUUGGCUUAGUUCUAUGGUGUUAGAAUCACAAUUUUCUCAAUGAAUACAUGUGCAAAAUCUACUUACAUAUUUUUACUUCAUAUCACAUUCAAGCAAAGCCCUUAAAUAGGAUUAUUUUAACAUUUAAACACUGGUAGUCAUGCUAUUAUUAAUAUUAAAAUACUUCACUAAUAUACUGAAAGAGCUAUGUAACACAUCUUCCUUCACUAGAUUAAAGAAAGUUCUAGGAUAAAACACAAAUUCCAGCUGCUUCAUAUAGCACCACAGUUUUAGAGCUCCCUUCACCAGAGUAUGUUUGGAUUCCUUUUACACCACCUGGAUUUGCAAUGCCUAAUAUAUUAUUAACUUGCAGUUCCCCUGGUUGAUCCACUAAACCAGGUCUUAAAGUCUUAUAAAACCUCUACUGUUCCACACAAAAGACAUACAUACACUUUUCACCAUAAUUAACAUUUAAAUUAACAGUAACACAAUACACUUGUGUAGUCUUAUCCGUAUAAGAUUGUGCCACAGAAAUGGGAAGAAGCAUGAAAUAACAGCAAGACAACUUCCUUUUUUUUUUUUAAUGGUACUUGCAUUUAAAACAGAAUUUAAAACAGCCUAAUAUUUCAGAUAAAAUAAUCUAAAUGCACCACAAAACCUGUCAGGUAAUAACAUGUGUGAUUUUUCCACUUUCUUCAUUGUAUAAGCAAACCCAAAACUCCUACUUUUCAUCUUCAUUAGUGUUCAUCAUUAUAUUCAAAGAGAACAGCAAUCCUUUGAGACUGCAAUGAUGUCAUAGUUGUAAAAUCUUCAGUAUUAAGCUGUUCUUCAAACCAAUCUAGUGAGAUAACGAACAAUCUAAAAAGUUAAAUAAAAUGAGUUUUUUUAUAUUGAAAACAACCCGGGAGUCAGGUUGUUUGAACCUCCAGUCAGUCCAAUGCAUGGCCAUUUACAGAUGCA